UGGGGACAGGGACACCCCUGAUGGGGGAUGCCUCUCAACAGAGGCCUGGGCUUUUGUGUAGAGAGAAGAGACAGACAGACAGACACGCACACGCAGAGAAGGGACGGGGGAAGAAGCCUGACUGCACAGGUCCAGGACGGUCUCUCUAGGGAGUCUGGCCAGGCCAGGUCCAGGAUUCGCACACUUGGAUGACGAGACGUGGCUUCGGGAAUGAAGGAACGCGUGCCCUCAGGACAGGCCAGCCAGGCAGAGACUGACCACUGACCUCGGCACGCAGGUCCCGGAGGCAGCACCAGCCUCCACGCAGAGGACCCACUCCCGGGAAGCAAGGCUUAGCCACGUCCUUCGGUUGGCCAGCCGGGCAGCACAGUGGCCCCUCCAUGGGGCUGAAUCGUGGCCCUCCUGAGCUGUUUGGUUGUAAAUAGCCAAAUGGAAGAACCAGGACAGGGAGAACUGUAGGCCACUGGGAGGCAAGGUGCCCGGCUGGUUCCCGGUCAAGGUGGGAGAGCCUACAGCAGGGGUCACGAAGUGCCGAGCGGCUGCUCCGAGGGGGGCAGUCCGCUUGUGUGUCCAGUGGCGCCCCCUGGCGCGCCUGCCUGGCUGGCCUCGCUUGCUGCUGUGCCCGCUUUCUUUUGCCGAGCGCAUGAAUGAUUCCAUGGAUGAACAAAUGCUUCCUCCCGUGCGUCGACUGCUGCCCUGGGGGCAGGACCGGAGGCCGCACCAGCUGGCUGUCAGAACCAUGGGGAGACAGCGUGGCUCACCUGUGCCCCCCGCCCCGCCCCAGGGCCACUUAUCUGCAGACAGGGUCCCCGAGGGAGCCAGAGCUCCACAAAGGCCCUCCUACAUUUGACCAGCCACGGAAUCCUCAGCCCCUCCUGCCAGCUCAUGGUAACAGCUGGGGAACCAUCCCCCCGGGGUGGGGGCGUGCUGCCCAGCCCUGGCUGGACGCGGGCACAGGGGUGAGGCACUCCAUUAACAUUGCCGCAGGGUCCCGCGACUGUUGAUAUCAGCACUUCAGGGUUAUUUAUGAAUUCAUCUAUUUGCCGGGACAAGCUUUUCUGCAUUCGGUUGCCAUGGUUGCCUUAAAGCCAGUAUCUUAUUAAUUCUGCAUGUUAUGAAAUAAAUUUAGAUCAGACAAUCG
rnacentral:lncRNA from 1 species